GGACAUGAUUUCUAAACUGCCACCACUCCCUUAUUUUCAGGCCAACCUACACAAAUCUUAUAUCAAAACGUUCAGCUAUCCCUGCUGCCACUAAACAUGUCAACGGCUAAGCUGUAGUCCUGAUAGUUUUCACAAUAUAAUCAUUUGUUUGCAACUAACGCCGUCCAUUGACUUUCAUUGAAACUUCACUCUACAAAGCUCAAAUUUGAAGUGCAAUUUCUAAACUGCGACUGUGCCUUCAAUUUUAAUACUUCAGAGACAUACUAUGCAUCAAAAUGUAGGUCUGGGUCUUGUGAUUCU